GAUGAACGCUGGCGGCGUGCCUAAUACAUGCAAGUCGAGCGAACAGAUGAGGAGCUUGCUCCUCUGACGUUAGCGGCGGACGGGUGAGUAACACGUGGAUAACCUACCUAUAAGACUGGGAUAACUUCGGGAAACCGGAGCUAAUACCGGAUAAUAUAUUGAACCGCAUGGUUCAAUAGUGAAAGACGGUUUUGCUGUCACUUAUAGAUGGAUCCGCGCCGCAUUAGCUAGUUGGUAAGGUAACGGCUUACCAAGGCAACGAUGCGUAGCCGACCUGAGAGGGUGAUCGGCCAGACUGGAACUGAGACACGGUCCGCACUCCUACGGGGGGCAGCAGUAGGGAAUCUUCCGCAAUGGGCGAAAGCCUGACGGAGCAACGCCGCGUGAGUGAUGAAGGUCUUCGGAUCGUAAAACUCUGUUAUUAGGGAAGAACAAAUGUGUAAGUAACUAUGCACGUCUUGACGGUACCUAAUCAGAAAGCCACGGCUAACUACGUG
rnacentral:rRNA from 1 species